rnacentral:rRNA from 1 species
GACGAACGCUGGCGGCGUGCUUAACACAUGCAAGUCGAACGGUAAGGCCCUUCGGGGUACACGAGUGGCGAACGGGUGAGUAACACGUGGGUGAUCUGCCCCGCACUUCGGGAUAAGCCUGGGAAACUGGGUCUAAUACCGGAUAGGACUCCGGACUGCAUGGUCUGGGGUGGAAAGCUUUUGCGGUGUGGGAUGGGCCCGCGGCCUAUCAGCUUGUUGGGGGGGUGAUGGCCUACCAAGGCGACGACGGGUAGCCGGCCUGAGAGGGUGACCGGCCACACUGGGACUGGGCUACGGCCCAGACUCCUACGGGAGGCAGCAGUGGGGAAUAUUGCACAAUGGGCGCAAGCCUGAUGCAGCGACGCCGCGUGAGGGAUGACGGCCUUCGGGUUGUAAACCUCUUUCAGCAUCGACGAAGCGAAAGUGACGGUAGGUGCAGAAGAAGGACCGGCCAACCACGUGCCAGCCGCCGCAGUAA